UUGCAGGACAUCAGAGAGCAGAUAACACAUUGGCCACAUCUCCAGUAAACGUGGCAAUCAUACUAAAUCAUAAAAGGAAGUAUGAAUGCAAUGCUUGAGAAGACUAGGACUCUGAAAAUUGACACGAAGCAGAGUUAUGUGCUUGUAUGGAGGGAAUAUUCAUUGCCAUUCAGAGAUCAGAGUUGCCUAUUUGUGUGAAACUAGACACGCUAUCAGUAGUGAACGUGCUCAAGGAGAAGGAUCUAGACAGAUCAAUGUUUGCAUCAUUGAUUGCUGAGAUCAAUCAUCUUUUGCCUCCUCGUUUUGGUUCCGGCUUGCGAGAGGUAGUAAAGCAGAUUGUAAUGAUGAUGCUAUUUGAUUAAUGCAAGAUUUUACCCGUAAAAAAAGACAUAUAGGACAAGAUGUUCUCAACACGCAUGCCGUUACUACCAUAAGCUUGACAUUCCAUAUCUUGUAAGCUCCAAUGCAAUUCGUCAACCAUGUUUGAAUUGGUAUUUACUUUCUGAUCAAACGAAUCAGCUAUUUUUAUGUUUAUAUUGAAGCAACACUAAUAUGACAAGGGAAAAUGAUGCAGAAACUCAACCUCAUGACAAUUGUAUAAAAAA